GUGGCGAACGGCUGAGUAACACGUGGGCAACCUGCCCCUCUCAUUGGGAUAGCCACGGGAAACCGUGGAUAAUACCGAAUACUUCGGGACUUCCGCAUGGAAGACUCGAGAAAGCUCCGGCGGAGAGGGAUGGGCCCGCGGCCUGUUAGCUUGUUGGUGGGGUAACGGCCUACCAAGGCAAUGAUGGGUAGCUGGGUUGAGAGACCGACCAGCCAGAUUGGGACUGAGACACGGCCCAGACUCCUACGGGAGGCCGCAGUGGGGAAUCUUGCACAAUGGGCGAAAGCCUGAUGCAGCGACGCCGCGUGCGGGAUGAAGGCCUUCGGGUUGUAAACCGCUUUCAGCAGGGACGAGGCGAAAGUGACGGUACCUGCAGAAGAAGCCCCGGCUAACUACGUGCCAGCAGCCGCGGUAAUACGUAGGGGGCAAGCGUUAUCCGGAUUCAUUGGGCGUAAAGCGCUCGUAGGCGGUCUGUUAGGUCGGGAGUUAAAUCCGGGGGCUCAACCCCCGUUCGCUCCCGAUACCGGCAGACUUGAGUUUGGUAGGGGAAGGUGGAAUUCCUAGUGUAGCGGUGGAAUGCGCAGAUAUUAGGAAGAACACCAGUGGCGAAGGCGGCCUUCUGGGCCAUAACUGACGCUGAGGAGCGAAAGCUAGGGGAGCAAACAGGAUUAGAUACCCUGGUAGUCCUAGCCGUAAACGAUGGACACUAGGUGUGGGGGAAUAUUUCUUC
rnacentral:rRNA from 1 species